rnacentral:rRNA from 1 species
GGUUGAAGGUUGGGUAACACUAACUGGAGGACCGAACCGACUAAUGUUGAAAAAUUAGCGGAUGACUUGUGGCUGGGGGUGAAAGGCCAAUCAAACCGGGAGAUAGCUGGUUCUCCCCGAAAGCUAUUUAGGUAGCGCCUCGUGAAUUCAUCUCCGGGGGUAGAGCACUGUUUCGGCAAGGGGGUCAUCCCGACUUACCAACCCGAUGCAAACUGCGAAUACCGGAGAAUGUUAUCACGGGAGACACACGGCGGGUGCUAACGUCCGUCGUGAAGAGGGAAACAACCCAGACCGCCAGCUAAGGUCCCAAAGUCAUGGUUAAGUGGGAAACGAUGUGGGAAGGCCCAGACAGCCAGGAUGUUGGCUUAGAAGCAGCCAUCAUUUAAAGAAAGCGUAAUAGCUCACUGGUCGAGUCGGCCUGCGCGGAAGAUGUAACGGGGCUAAACCAUGCACCGAAGCUGCGGCAGCGACACUAUGUGUUGUUGGGUAGGGGAGCG